UACAGAGGAUGCAAGCGUUAUCCGGAAUGAUUGGGCGUAAAGCGUCUGUAGGUGGCUUUUUAAGUCCGCCGUCAAAUCCCAGGGCUCAACUCUGGACAGGCGGUGGAAACUACCAAGCUGGAGUACGGUAGGGGCAGAGGGAAUUUCCGGUGGAGCGGUGAAAUGCGUAGAGAUUGGAAAGAACACCGAUGGCGAAGGCACUUUACUGGGCUAUUACUAACACUCAGAGACGAAAGCUAGGGUAGCAAAUGGG
rnacentral:rRNA from 1 species